rnacentral:tRNA from 1 species
UGUAGCUCAGUUCGUAGAGUGCUUGCCUGGAACACAUGAGGCCCUAGGUUCAAUCCCCAGCA